UUGUUGCUUUUCUGAAUGUUUGAGUGCAUAUUUCCACUGUCCAGCACUGGGACGCUCAGGUUUAUCCUGCAGUACAGGGGUCUAGU